rnacentral:rRNA from 1 species
AGGGCGUAAAGCGCCUGUAGGUUGUUUAAUAAGUCUGUUGUUAAAGACUAGGGCUCAACCCUAGAAAAGCAAUGGAAACUACUAGACUAGAGUAUGGCAGGGGUAGAGGGAAUUUCUAGUGUAGCGGUGAAAUGCGUAGAUAUUAGAAAGAACACCGGUGGCGAAAGCGCUCUACUGGACCAUUACUGACACUCAGGGGCGAAAGCUAGGGUAGCAAAAGGGAUUAGAUACCCCUGUAGUCCUAGCCGUAAACGAUGGAUACUAGAUGUUGUACGUAAAGUACAGUAUCCUAGCUAACGCGUUAAGUAUCCCGCCUGGGGAGUACGCUCGCAAGGGUGAAACUCAAAGGAAUUGACGGGGGCCCGCACAAGCGGUGGAGCAUGUGGUUUAAUUCGAUGCAACGCGAAGAACCUUACCAGGGCUUGACAUACUACAAAUUCUUUAGAGAUAGAGAAGUGCCUUCGGGAAUGUAGAUACAGGUGGUGCAUGGCUGUCGUCAGCUCGUGUCGUGAGAUGUUGGGUUAAGUCCCGCAACGAGCGCAACCCUUGUUUUUAGUUACUAAUUCGUUAGGUUUUCUAGAAAGACUGCCGGUGACAAACCGGAGGAAGGUGAGGAUGACGUCAAGUCAGCAUGCCCCUUAUGUCCUGGGCUACACACGUGCUACAAUGGUUAAGACAAUGAGUCGCGAGCUCGCGAGAGUCAGCUAAUCUCAUAAACUUAGCCUAAGUUCAGAUUGUAGGCUGCA